rnacentral:snRNA from 1 species
GUGCUCACUUCAGCAGCACAUACACUAAAAUUGGAACGUUACCGAGAAGAUUAGCAUGGCCCCUGCCCAAGGAUGACACGCAAAUUUGUGAAGCGUUCCAUAUGUUU